GACGAACGCUGGCGGCGUGCUUAACACAUGCAAGUCGAACGGAAAGGCCCUGCUUUUGUGGGGUGCUCGAGUGGCGAACGGGUGAGUAACACGUGAGUAACCUGCCCUUGACUUUGGGAUAACUUCAGGAAACUGGGGCUAAUACCGGAUAGGAGCUCCUGCUGCAUGGUGGGGGUUGGAAAGUUUCGGCGGUUGGGGAUGGACUCGCGGCUUAUCAGCUUGUUGGUGGGGUAGUGGCUUACCAAGGCUUUGACGGGUAGCCGGCCUGAGAGGGUGACCGGCCACAUUGGGACUAAGAUACGGCCCAGACUCCUACGGGAGGCAGCAGUGGGGAAUAUUGCGCAAUGGGCGGAAGCCUGAUGCAGCAGCGCCGCGUGCGGGAUGACGGCCUUCGGGUUGUAAACCGCUUUCGCCUGUGACGAAGCGUGAGUGACGGUAAUGGGUAAAGAAGCACCGGCUAACUACGUG
rnacentral:rRNA from 1 species